GGAGUUGUAGCUCAGUAGUAGAGUGCUUGCCUCGGAUGCAUGAGGCCCUGGGUUCGGUCCACAGCACCA
rnacentral:tRNA from 1 species